rnacentral:rRNA from 1 species
UCUACGGGCGGCUGCAGUGGGGAAUAUUGGACAAUGGGCGAAAGCCUGAUCCAGCCAUGCCGCGUGUGUGAAGAAGGCCUUCGGGUUGUAAAGCACUUUCAGUGGGGAAGAAAGCCUUGGGGCUAAUACCCUCGAGGAAGGACAUCACCCACAGAAGAAGCACCGGCUAACUCCGUGCCAGCAGCCGCGGUAAUACGGAGGGUGCGAGCGUUAAUCGGAAUUACUGGGCGUAAAGCGCGCGUAGGCGGUCUGAUAAGCCGGUUGUGAAAGCCCCGGGCUCAACCUGGGAACGGCAUCCGGAACUGUCAGGCUAGAGUGCAGGAGAGGAAGGUAGAAUUCCCGGUGUAGCGGUGAAAUGCGUAGAGAUCGGGAGGAAUACCAGUGGCGAAGGCGGCCUUCUGGACUGACACUGACGCUGAGGUGCGAAAGCGUGGGUAGCAAACAGGAUUAGAUACCCCAGUAGUC